rnacentral:lncRNA from 1 species
AUUAAAUAUCACAGCAUAUUUCGAAUAAGUAUAUUUUGUAAUACGAAUAAGUUUUUAACAAGUAGAAUAAACUUUAAUUUUAAUAAAGUAGGAUGUUGCCAUAGUGGCUAGGUGGCUUUUAAUUAACCGCCAGUAUUCUAUUAUUUCAUUUCUACGGUCACAUUAUUCUAUUCCUUCACUCUGAGCGCUGCACAUGCUUGGCAUGGUCGAUAAUAACUGCACGUAACCCAACUACGAGACAAAUUUGUGCAACAGUUUCAGGCAUGACCGGAAAAGAAAGAAAUACAAACACCUCUCGUCCUCUUCUUCUUCUUCUUCUUCUUCUUCUUCUUCUUCUUUUCUUCUUUUUUUUAACAAUAAUUCAUAUAGCUCUAACGUAAGUACAUCCUGUUAAGUCAAGAGAGAGUAAAAAUAUAAAAGUUAGAGAAUAUCCUCUAUCGAUGUCCACAAAAACUCUCCAAAAUAUUGGACGAUGAAGAAGGCAACCCAGUCCGCAGCACUAUUCGCCUCCAUGAACACAUGUAAUAUCUAAACCUCCCUAAACUCUUGGAUCAGUCUGCAACACUCUCGGAUGAGAGGAUGGCCAUCACUGUACUUAUCCACUCUCCGGAUCCAAUUAAUCACGAUUGAUGAAUCACCCUCAAGGUGCACACACUCUGCGGCCAACGCACUC